rnacentral:rRNA from 1 species
UACGUAGGGGGCUAGCGUUGUCCGGACUUAUUGGGCGUAAAGAGCGUGUAGGCGGCCAGGUAGGUCUGCUGUGAAAACUCGAGGCUCAACCUCGAGACGUCGGCGGAAACCAUCUGGCUAGAGUCCGGAAGAGGAGAGUGGAAUUCCUGGUGUAGCGGUGAAAUGCGCAGAUAUCAGGAAGAACACCCGUGGCGAAGGCGGCUCUCUGGGACGGUACUGACGCUGAGACGCGAAAGCGUGGGGAGCGAACAGG